rnacentral:lncRNA from 1 species
UAAUUUUCAUGCUAUGCAAAGAAAUUUAGAAUAUUUUAUGAAUCUACAAAGUGUCAAUCAUAAAUUAUUGGGUCCAUUCCAUGCAUACAAUUUUGCACCUCUUUCACUAGCUGAGUAGAAGUAGGCCAAUUGUUACUGGCAGCUUGAUGUCGGCAAAACUUCGAUCACCACUCCCAGUCUCCCUUUUCGGCUAAUAAUUAAGAGUUACCAUCUUACCGAUAUCAACAUCAAUAUUAUGAUAGAUAUUGUGAAGGUCAUCAUCGACCAUGAGGAAGCUCCAAGAAAUCUCUAGAAAAUUGAUGAUGAUUCCUUGCUAAUCAAAUUCCUUAAUCCUUAUUGAAGGACUGCCCACUGUCAAUUGAAGAAUUCUUUAGAUAAAAUUCAACCGCCAUACUAGAAGAAUCAAGGAGCAACAAGUUACUUUCAUCAUUAAUGUAAUGAAAAAACUAGAAUGCAUCCAUGCCUAGAAGAUGCUAGAAGAAUCCAAUUACUAUCACCAUCAUUUAUGGAUUUAUCUAGAAUUAGGUUCACCACCGUCAUAAUAUAACCAUCCACCACCUCCAUUAACACCUAUAAAUAGAAGGUGGCUAUGUGCAUUACGAAUGUAUGGGUGAUGAGAGAAAAUGUGUAGAAAUAAGUGAGGGUAAUUAGUGCUCCCUUGGGUAUUAUUAGUGUAGUGUUCAUCUUAAAUUGUGUACGUGAUUUAUAUUAAUAAAAUCCUUUUUUUUUUUUUUUUUGGAGUUUAAACUCAACAUAUUGCAUAUUUCUUAGUCUAUUUGCGUAUCUAUUGUCCCUGUAAAGUAAAGAAUCAAUAAAUAUUCAAUAUUUUAUAAUCAACUGCCAUUCGAUCAAAAUAUUAAAUAUAGCCACUAAUGCCCAAAUCUGCACUCAACUACCAGCUUUUCAAACUAAUAAAUAUCCAUUAAUGCCCACCUUCAAACACGCUCCAAAACGGGGCCACAAUGUUUUGGAUCACUUCUGGCGUCUGGAGGCCCCCAAAUGGCUUACUAAUUGCCAUUUCUGCCUUCACUUUGGCCUCUUACCUGCCUCCUUUUGAUCUCUGAGCAUCCUACACUUGCCUCCAAGCGUCGAUUUGUCUCAUACUAGUUACUACUCUUGUUUACUCUUAAAAAUG